CUUCAAGGAAUACAGACUAAAAGCGCCACGUCCUAUGGCAACGUCUGCAUGACCCG
rnacentral:sRNA from 1 species